rnacentral:rRNA from 1 species
UACGUAGGUGGCAAGCGUUGUCCGGAUUUACUGGGCGUAAAGAGCGCGCAGGCGGUCGGAUCAGUCGAAUGUGAAAGCCCCCGGCUCAACUGGGGAGGGUCAUUCGAUACUGUCCGACUCGAAGGCAGGAGAGGGAAGCGGAAUUCCCGGUGUAGUGGUGAAGUGCGUAGAUAUCGGGAGGAACACCAGUGGCGAAGGCGCUUUCUGGCCUGUUCUUGACGCUGAGGCGCGAAAGCUAGGGGAGCGAACGGG